UAGCUAAAAUGGUAGAGUGCUUGCCUUGCAUGCAAAAGGCCCUGGGUUUGAUCCCCAG
rnacentral:tRNA from 1 species